rnacentral:rRNA from 1 species
GGUUUCUUGAUAUAUAUAGGAGAUCUAACCUGCCCACUGAAAAUUUUUGAAGGGCCGCAGUAUUUUGACUGUGCAAAGGUAGCAUAAUCAUUAGUCUUUUAAUUGAGGGCUGGAAUGAAUGGUUGGACGAGGUAAAUUCUGUUUUAUGUUAAUUAAUGUUUGAAUUUAGAUUUUAAGUAAAAAGACUUAAAUAUUAUUAAGGGACGAGAAGACCCUAUAGAGUUUAAUAUUUGUAAUAUUAAUUAAGUUAAUAAUUAAUUUUUAGUUAUUAUGAAAAUUAUUUAAUUGGGGUGAUUAGAAGAUAAAUUAAACUCUUCUUAAAUAUAAAUAUUUAUAAGUAAUAUUUAGAUCCAUUAAAAUUGAUUGAAAGAUUAAAUUACCUUAGGGAUAACAGCAUAAUUCUUUUUGAGAGUUCAAAUCGAGAAAAGAGAUUGUGACCUCGAUGUUGGAUUAAGAUAAAAUUUGGGUGUAGAUGUUCAAGUGUUAAGUCUGUUCGACUUUUAAAAUCUUACA